UCAGCGUUUGACGCAUGUAGGGAAAACUUUAGAAAGUUAGCUAAACGGCUAAAAUGCUGAAACACCUUUGUUGAGGAGAAUAAAUAGAGGAACAGCAAACAGAACAAUAGGAAUACAGUUCCCAGGAAGCCCUGGCUGCUGGCCCUGCUGCUGCCGCUCACUGCCACAGUCUGGACAGCAGGGGAGGGUGGAGUGUUCCUCCGGGGGCCUGGGACGCUUCCAGCUGGGCCGCCGAGGUGUGGAGCUUGCCUCGGGGUAAGCCUCUUGUACUCUCUUUGAGGGAAAAUUCCCCUUUUCUCCGUUUCCCAUCAAGCCGGCUUGUAACUCAAAAGGACAGACUUUAUUACACUUUGGAGAUUCCAGGCAGCAGUGGACAGUAUAAAGGAGACAGCCGUCACUUCAGCCUCUGAAAUGAUGAUCUCCAUUCUGGCCAUGUUGCACUCCACAUGCAAACCACAGCAGAUCGCAGGUCAUAUACAGCAGAGACCCUGAAGACCGAAGAAUGGGGGAAACAAACUGCGGACUUUCACCCAGGACAAUGGGCGGCCUUUGUUUGGAUAAAUUGUUUGAAGAUUUACUGUAGUUCUUCAAGGCCCCGAGAAGUGUCCCCCUGCUGCCCGAGCUCAAUGUCCCUGCCUUACUGGAGGCCCAGAGCUGAUGACACACUGCUGGUCUUGGACAAAGGCCUGUUUUUCUAAGACAAGAUGGAGGGAGCAUCUC